CCUACGGGAGGCAGCAGUGAGGAAUAUUGGUCAAUGGACGAGAGUCUGAACCAGCCAAGUAGCGUGAAGGAUGACUGCCCUAUGGGUUGUAAACUUCUUUUAUAUGGGAAUAAAACGUUCCACGUGUGGGAUUUUGUAUGUACCAUAUGAAUAAGGAUCGGCUAACUCCGUGCCAGCAGCCGCGGUAAUACGGAGGAUCCGAGCGUUAUCCGGAUUUAUUGGGUUUAAAGGGAGCGUAGGUGGAUUGUUAAGUCAGUUGUGAAAGUUUGCGGCUUAAACGUAAGAUUGCAGUUGAAACUGGCAGUCUUGAGUACAGUAGAGGUGGGCGGAAUUCGUGGUGUAGCGGUGAAAUGCGUAGAUAUCACGAAGAACUCCGAUUGCGAAGGCAGUUCACUGGACUGCAACUGACACUGAGGCUCGAAAGUGUGGGUAUCAAACAGGAUUAGAUACCCCUGUAGUC
rnacentral:rRNA from 1 species